rnacentral:rRNA from 1 species
GCGCAACCCUUGUUAUUAGUUGCCAGCAUUAAGUUGGGCACUCUAAUGAGACUGCCGGUGACAAACCGGAGGAAGGUGGGGAUGACGUCAAGUCAUCAUGCCCCUUAUGACCUGGGCUACACACGUGCUACAAUGGGCAGUACAACGAGAAGCGAGCCUGCGAAGGCAAGCGAAUCUCUGAAAGCUGUUCUCAGUUCGGACUGCAGUCUGCAACUCGACUGCACGAAGCUGGAAUCGCUAGUAAUCGCGGAUCAGCACGCCGCGGUGAAUACGU